GAUGAACGCUGGCGGCGUGCCUAAUACAUGCAAGUCGAGCGAACAGACGAGGAGCUUGCUCCUCUGACGUUAGCGGCGGACGGGUGAGUAACACGUGGAUAACCUACCUAUAAGACUGGGAUAACUUCGGGAAACCGGAGCUAAUACCGGAUAAUAUAUUGAACCGCAUGGUUCAAUAGUGAAAGACGGUUUUGCUUUCACUUAUAGAUGGAUCCGCGCCGCAUUAGCUAGUUGGUAAGGUAACGGCUUACCAAGGCAACGAUGCGUAGCCGACCUGAGAGGGUGAUCGGCCAAACUGGAACUGAGACACGGUCCAGACUCCUACGGGAGGCAGCAGUAGGGAAUCUUCCGCAAUGGGCGAAAGCCUGACGGAGCAACGCCGCGUGAGUGAUGAAGGUCUUCGGAUCGUAAAACUCUGUUAUUAGGGAAGAACAAAUGUGUAAGUAACUAUGCACGUCUUGACGGUACCUAAUCAGAAAGCCACGGCUAACUACGUG
rnacentral:rRNA from 1 species